rnacentral:rRNA from 1 species
GCUUAACACAUGCAAGUCGAGCGGGGGAAGGUAGCUUGCUACUGGACCUAGCGGCGGACGGGUGAGUAAUGCUUAGGAAUCUGCCUAUUAGUGGGGGACAACAUCUCGAAAGGGAUGCUAAUACCGCAUACGUCCUACGGGAGAAAGCAGGGGAUCUUCGGACCUUGCGCUAAUAGAUGAGCCUAAGUCGGAUUAGCUAGUUGGUGGGGUAAAGGCCUACCAAGGCGACGAUCUGUAGCGGGUCUGAGAGGAUGAUCCGCCACACUGGGACUGAGACACGGCCCAGACUCCUACGGGAGGCAGCAGUGGGGAAUAUUGGACAAUGGGGGGAACCCUGAUCCAGCCAUGCCGCGUGUGUGAAGAAGGCCUUAUGGUUGUAAAGCACUUUAAGCGAGGAGGAGGCUACUUUAGUUAAUACCUAGAGAUAGUGGACGUACUCGCAGAAUAAGCACCGGC